rnacentral:lncRNA from 1 species
UCCACAUUUUAACUCAUACAGGAUCAACAUGGAGUUACCACAACAUUACAUCAUUUGUUACAAAAAUAACUUACAUCGGAGUGCGGAAGAUUUAUAACUCAAUUUACAACAUAUGAUGGAAUAUAAACAACUAAAUUUCCAAAAGGUGUGUGGAGUAGCGGAAGCAUCUUAGGUGAAGCUUCUAAGGUAGAAGAGGUGGAUAAAUCAUGUCGCGCCCACCGACAUGACCUCCAUUAGCAGCAUAAGUCAGCACCUGCAACAGGGGUUAUAAAACCCUGAGUACGGGAGUACUCAACAAGACUUACCCGGCAGAAAAAGAGGAGAACUUAGGAAUGCAGGCUUAGGGUAGACAAGGAGUGGCUGAGCAAGGAGCCAAAUUGUUUUGCUAAAAAGCUUACUAAUAGUGCGUCCUUACUUUCAAGUUUUACCCACGAAUUCCUCUCCUCAAGAGGCCGAGGAAUUCGAGGACAGUUUAUCUAGUUGCUUUUCACAGACAAGUCUGUGAAUUCCUAGUCAUUAAUAAAAGUAUUGUUCAUCCAACGGCCAUAGCUUCUUGUCACUCUGAGUCCGGGAAUUGGGAUCCGAACCUCAUGAGACAUUUCCCCCUUUCUCAUUUUAUCACUUAGUUGCAUAUUUAUCUACGAUGAGGGUCGAAGGAAUUGAGUCUCCCAAUCGGGGAGCAACGACGAUUCGAAUCGCUUAGCAAUCCAGCUGGAGUUCCUAACCACCCGACAUAUGUAGAACUAAAUCUUGCAUAUGUCAACCCAAAUCAAGCUCUCCCCAAAUUUGACCAGGUUCGCGGCACCCGAGAGCACAGUACUCCACCAUCCUACAGCCGAUCUAGAUGUUUUCCAGUCAUCUCAGAUCCGUAAGGUGGGUACACACUACUCUCGCCAUCGCUCCACGCCCAGUGCGCGAGUAGCUCUUCGCGUCGAGGGAUCACAAGACCGGGUUACCGAGGGCAAGUGGCUAGUACUAUAAAUUCUCAACCCAGCAGGCCAUCAACGGAACGGUCCUUAAUCGACACAGUUGGAGACACUACUUUAAGACUUCAUUCUUAAAGCAAGUCCACCGACCGGUCUCAAGUUGAAACAUCAUUGAUCAUAAGUGUAUUCCACAACAACCCUUCAAACUUUGUUUGAAAACCUAUCUAGUAGCAGGGCUAAGCAUUACUACGUAGUUUUAAAAUAAAAUAGGUGUCAAGGACAGGAUAACAAAUAUCAAGAUAGUGAAUGCAGCAAGUCGGUUAACCCAAUUCUCAACUAACUAAUGCAGCAUUUUCAAUUCAUAAGUGAUAAAAGAUUUAAAACAUUCAAGGAGGGGUUAAUGCAUCCGGGGCUUGCCUUGGUUGCAGGGCAGAGAGGGACCCUCGGAGACUUCUCAAGUCUCGGAUCCUACUUCCUCGAAUGGAGCACCGACUUCGGGGAUCGGCUCAACGGUCGCUCCUUCGGUCACGGACACUAUACGCAAAAUCAUGAAUGCUCAUGAUAUGCGUAUGACAAAUAUGCAAGGACCAAGUCGAGUACAACUUGCCUUCUCGGUGCAACACGGAAUAAACAAUAAUUAAAGUUGUUUAACAUCUUAGUGUCUUUACCCAAGAGGUUGCAUCUGUAAACCAAAAUUCUUCUUAAUUCAGAAUUAUCCUAAAUUAACUAAUUAUUAAUCCUUUUAUCUUAAUUAAUUCUUAAUUAAAUAUUAAUGACAGCAAUUAAGCAUUAAUGCCAAACAAUAAUUAAAUGCCAAAGGUCGUUAAGGUUAAUGACCUCAGGUCAUCACACAAUCCCAAAAUCACUCAAAUCCUAAUCUUGAGAAUUUAACUAAUUAUUAUCUAAUUAUUCUAGAAUUAUUAAUUAAUUACUAAUUAAGGGUUUAAUAUGAUCUUAUUCAAACAUUAUCCAAAUGUUACCAAAUUUUGUGUGAACCCAGGGAAUAAUAUUCAGAGGUUUCUCACAAUUUUUGGUGAUUUUUGGAUAUACCCAUAAAUUAUUAAAAUUCAUGGAAGUUUUAUUUACUAAAUAAAAGACAGAAUUUUUAUACAUGUUCACAGUAUCAUAAAAUGAACUUUAGCAUUUUUUCCUAUGUUCUACUCAAAGCACAGAACUUAUACAAAAAUUUUCACCAUUUUGGAAUCAGCACAUAAUUUCCUAUAUAAAAUUCAAACAUAAUUCAAAUUUACACACAUAACCAGGACAGCAGCAUAUAUGCAACUUCAUUCAACCAUAAUUAGAGAUCCAAGCAUCCAAUAAAGGUGAUAUUAGACUUUCUGGAAAGCUUAGAUAAUUUUCUACAACUUUGUUAUUAUCUUCAAGAACUGAUUUAAUAGAUAAGAUGGCCAAACAGUAUGAAUAAACAAUUCUGUCCAGACCUUGGACAGAAUCAGACAUUAAGCUUCAUACAUCUAUAACCAGAGUUCUAGAUCACCAAAAUUCAUGAUCCAUAACAUUUUGGAAAGCUUAUGAAAAUGACUACAAUUCAUCUUUUAUUAUGAAAGCAUGAUUCAUAAGUUUAGCAAGUUGAAAUUACACUACUACAGAAACUGAUCCAGGAUUUGACAGAGAGAAACCAUUUCUGAAACUUAAAUUUAAACAGGCAUAACUCAGAACCUAUAGGGCCAAAUGCCACCAAAAUUUAACACCAAGUAGAUACAUGAAUUAUAUACAACUUUGUUAUAGACAAGUUUCACAUCCAACAUUAUCUACCUAGAGCAAUUCAUAAUACUCCAGAAACUGUCGAGAAACCACUAGUAUUUGAAUUAUAAAGAAAUAACAUUUCAUUUAUGUUCCAAACUUGAACCUGGGAAAAACCCAGCUCACCAACAGUUGAAAUACAUCAAAGAGAUACUAGAAAACAUUAUGGUCAUCCCUAAAUAAAUUUCUUUCAUGUCUUUAUUAAUUUAUUUAGAUAAAUAGACAAAGUAGUAACCAUAUGUCAAAAGUACACACUAAAUUCUGAGAAAACUACAGCAGCUCAUAUAUGUUCUCCAAAGUCUACUGUAUAAAUUUCAUGCCAUUUGGAUAAUUAUAGCAAUUUCCAUGAAAAAGAUAAAUUUUCAUCACAGGGAAGCAUGUAACACCAAGAUAAAUAAGAAACGCGACAUUUUCUACAAACACAUAGCUAAAUUAUGUAUCUAUAUGAUAUAAAAACCUCAUAUAAAGGUACCGGAACCAUAGUUUAUAUUUAUUAAUUUUUAGUUUAAUUAUAGACAAUUUAAUAAGCACUAAACAAGAUAAAGUAAUAACUUAACCAUAUAUCAUCCACUAAAUAUGAAAUUUUUACUGCAACACUCACAUAACAUCAUGAGAACACCAUAAAAAUUUCAGGCCCAUAGGAGCUACACAGAAUGAGAUAUGAAUUUCUCCUUUUUAAACAUAAUUAAAAGGCAUAAAUCAUAAAUAAUUAUUUUAUUACAAAACCUGGCCAGUUUCAUAUUUUUAAUAAAAACUAGAUAUCUCAAGGAGCACAACAAAAUUUGGUUCACCAAAAUUGGAGUUACCAAACUCCAGAUAUGAAUUUUCAAAGAUUCAACAAAACAUCCACAAACAGGUCCUGAUGGCACUAUUCACCUGAGUCACGAACUUCGCAGUUAGACCGUUGCCUUGUGUCGAAUUCCAACGCGAAGUCCCUAGCGCGAAUUGAAAACAGAGGACGUCGGAGGAAACUCGAUUUCCGGCCUGUUGACGUUCGUUGGAGACGAGGGGAAGAGUUGGGGAGCAUCAGGGGCUUAGCACGACUUCUUCAAGCUUCUCAGAAGUGGCGGAGAAGCACGGAGGAGGGCUGGCCACGUGAAGCGCCCACGGCGGCGCUUUCGGCCAGAGUUGAGGAAGAAAGACGGCUCCCGGGCGGUUGAGAGGGGCAGGGAGGGUUCCUGGGCGUACACUGGGUUCGCAAGGAUAUGGCGAAGGUGUUGGAGAACUCGAAUUGGUUGGAGGGGUUGCGUGUAGAGGGUAAUGGAUGGUGGAGCUUCUCUGAUGCUUU